rnacentral:rRNA from 2 species
UCCGUAGGUGAACCUGCGGAAGGAUCAUUACCGAGUUGAUUCGGGCUCCGGCCCGAUCCUCCCACCCUUUGUGUACCCACCUCUGUUGCUUUGGCGGGCCGCGGUCCUCCGCGGCCGCCCUCCGUCCGGGGGGUGGCCAGCGCCCGCCAGAGGACCAUCAAACUCCGGUCAGUGAACGUUGCCGUCUGAAAAACAAUCAAUAAACUAAAACUUUCAACAACGGAUCUCUUGGUUCUGGCAUCGAUGAAGAACGCAGCGAAAUGCGAUAAGUAAUGUGAAUUGCAGAAUUCAGUGAAUCAUCGAAUCUUUGAACGCACAUUGCGCCCCUCGGUAUUCCGAGGGGCAUGCCUGUUCGAGCGUCAUUACAACCCUCAAGCUCUGCUUGGUGUUGGGCACCGCCCUUCCGCGGGCGCGCCUCAAAGACCUCGGCGGUGGCGUCUUGCCUCGAGCGUAGUAGAAAACACCUCGCUUUGGAGCGCACGGCGCCGCCCGCCGGACGAACCUUUUGAACUUUCUCAAGGUUGACCUCGGAUCAGGUAGGGAUACCCGCUGAACUUAAGCAUAUCAAUAAGCGGAGGA